CUGGCGGCAGGCUUAACACAUGCAAGUCGAACGAAGUUAGGAAGCUUGCUUCUGAUACUUAGUGGCGGACGGGUGAGUAAUGCUUAGGAAUCUGCCUAGUAGUGGGGGAUAACUUGGGGAAACCCAAGCUAAUACCGCAUACGACCUACGGGUGAAAGGGGGCUUUUAGCUCUCGCUAUUAGAUGAGCCUAAGUCGGAUUAGCUAGUUGGUGGGGUAAAGGCCUACCAAGGCGACGAUCUGUAGCUGGUCUGAGAGGAUGAUCAGCCACACUGGGACUGAGACACGGCCCAGACUCCUACGGGAGGCAGCAGUGGGGAAUAUUGGACAAUGGGCGAAAGCCUGAUCCAGCCAUGCCGCGUGUGUGAAGAAGGCCUUUUGGUUGUAAAGCACUUUAAGUGGGGAGGAAAAGCUUAUGGUUAAUACCCAUAAGCCCUGACGUUACCCACAGAAUAAGCACCGGCUAACUCUGUGCCAGCAGCCGCGGUAAUACAGAGGGUGCAAGCGUUAAUCGGAAUUACUGGGCGUAAAGCGCGCGUAGGUGGUUAUUUAAGUCAGAUGUGAAAGCCCCGGGCUUAACCUGGGAACUGCAUCUGAUACUGGAUAACUAGAGUAGGUGAGAGGGGAGUAGAAUUCCAGGUGUAGCGGUGAAAUGCGUAGAGAUCUGGAGGAAUACCGAUGGCGAAGGCAGCUCCCUGGCAUCA
rnacentral:rRNA from 1 species